rnacentral:rRNA from 1 species
AACGAACGCUGGCGGCAGGCUUAACACAUGCAAGUCGAACGCAUCGCAAGAUGAGUGGCAGACGGGUGAGUAACGCGUGGGAACAUACCCUUUUCUACGGAAUAGCUCUGGGAAACUGGAAUUAAUACCGUAUACGCCCUACGGGGGAAAGAUUUAUCGGGGAAGGAUUGGCCCGCGUUGGAUUAGCUAGUUGGUGGGGUAAAGGCCUACCAAGGCGACGAUCCAUAGCUGGUCUGAGAGGAUGAUCACCCACAUUGGGACUGAGACACGGCCCAAACUCCUACGGGAGGCAGCAGUGGGGAAUAUUGGACAAUGGGCGCAAGCCUGAUCCAGCCAUGCCGCGUGAGUGAUGAAGGCCUUAGGGUUGUAAAGCUCUUUCACCGAUGAAGAUAAUGACGGUAUCCGGAGAAGAAGCCCCGGCUAACUUCGUGCCAGCCGCCGCGGUAACAC